AGGGAAUAUUGGACAAUGGGCGCAAGCCUGAUCCAGCCAUGCCGCGUGAGUGAAGAAGGCCUUCGGGUUGUAAAGCUCUUUUGUCCGGAAAGAAAAGCAUCCAGUUAAUACCUGGAUGUCCUGACGGUACCGGAAGAAUAAGCACCGGCUAACUUCGUGCCAGCAGCCGCGGUAAUACGAAGGGUGCAAGCGUUACUCGGAAUUACUGGGCGUAAAGCGUGCGUAGGUGGUUUGUUAAGUCUGAUGUGAAAGCCCUGGGCUCAACCUGGGAAUGGCAUUGGAUACUGGCAGGCUAGAGUGCGGUAGAGGGCAGUGGAAUUCCCGGUGUAGCAGUGAAAUGCGUAGAGAUCGGGAGGAACAUCUGUGGCGAAGGCGACUGCCUGGACCAGCACUGACACUGAGGCACGAAAGCGUGGGGAGCAAAC
rnacentral:rRNA from 1 species